rnacentral:rRNA from 1 species
GACGAACGCUGGCGGCGUGCCUAAUACAUGCAAGUAGAACGCUGAAGAGAGGAGCUUGCUCUUCUUGGAUGAGUUGCGAACGGGUGAGUAACGCGUAGGUAACCUGCCUGGUAGCGGGGGAUAACUAUUGGAAACGAUAGCUAAUACCGCAUAAAAUUGAUUAUUGCAUGAUAGUUAAUUGAAAGAUGCAACUGCAUCACUACCAGAUGGACCUGCGUUGUGUUAGCUAGUUGGUGAGGUAACGGCUCACCAAGGCGACGAUACAUAGCCGACCUGAGAGGGUGAUCGGCCACACUGGGACUGAGACACGGCCCAGACUCCUACGGGAGGCAGCAGGAGGGAAUCUUCGGCAAUGGGGGGAAACCUGACCGAGCAACGCCGCGGGAGUGAAGAAGGGUCUCGGAUCGUAAAGCUCUGUUUUAAGAGAAGAACGGGUGUGAGAGUGGAAAGUUCACACUGUGACGGUAUCUUACCAGAAAGGGACGGCUAACUACGUG